rnacentral:rRNA from 1 species
AUUGAACGCUGGCGGCAGGCCUAACACAUGCAAGUCGAACGGUAACAGGAAACAGCUUGCUGUUUCGCUGACGAGUGGCGGACGGGUGAGUAAUGUCUGGGAAACUGCCUGAUGGAGGGGGAUAACUACUGGAAACGGUAGCUAAUACCGCAUAACGUCGCAAGACCAAAGAGGGGGACCUUCGGGCCUCUUGCCAUCGGAUGUGCCCAGAUGGGAUUAGCUAGUAGGUGGGGUAACGGCUCACCUAGGCGACGAUCCCUAGCUGGUCUGAGAGGAUGACCAGCCACACUGGAACUGAGACACGGUCCAGACUCCUACGGGAGGCAGCAGUGGGGAAUAUUGCACAAUGGGCGCAAGCCUGAUGCAGCCAUGCCGCGUGUAUGAAGAAGGCCUUCGGGUUGUAAAGUACUUUCAGCGGGGAGGAAGGGAGUAAAGUUAAUACCUUUACUCAUUGACGUUACCCACAGAAGAAGCACCGGCUAACUCCGUG